rnacentral:rRNA from 1 species
UAGGGAAUCUUCGGCAAUGGGGGGAACCCUGACCGAGCAACGCCGCGUGAGUGAAGAAGGUUUUCGGAUCGUAAAGCUCUGUUGUUAAGGAAGAACGAGUGUGAGAAUGGAAAGUUCAUGCUGUGACGGUACUUAACCAGAAAGGGACGGCUAACUACGUGCCAGCAGCCGCGGUAAUACGUAGGUCCCGAGCGUUGUCCGGAUUUAUUGGGCGUAAAGCGAGCGCAGGCGGUUAGAAAAGUCUGAAGUGAAAGGCAGUGGCUCAACCAUUGUAAGCUUUGGAAACUGUUUAACUGGAGUGCAGAAGGGGAGAGUGGAAUUCCAUGUGUAGCGGUGAAAUGCGUAGAUAGAUGGAGGAACACCGGUGGCGAAAGCGGCUCUCUGGUAUGUAACUGACGCUGAGGCUCGAAAGCGUGGGGAGCGAACAGG